rnacentral:rRNA from 1 species
UAGUCAUAUGCUAGUCAAAAAGAUUAAGCCAUGCACGUGCUAGUUUAACUGCGUUAAACAGAAAACUGCGGAUGGCUCAUUAGUCAGAUCUAAUCUACCUGAAGAGAAACUCUUAGAAGGAUACCUUUUCUAACUGAGCAGCUAAUACUUGCACAAGCUGUCUCUCGUUCACCGAGAGGCGGGUGUUUAUUAGAUUCCACACAGCCAACCUCGUGCGUGCGCAAGUGCGCGCGAGUCAGGUGAUUCAUAGUAACCGUUCGAACCGCAGCUCCUCUCGCAGGAGGCGGAAGUUCAGUCGAAGAUCUGCCCUAUCAGCUUUCGACGGUAGUGUCGUGGACUACCGUGGCGUUGACGGGUAACGGAGAAUUAGGGUUCGAUUCCGGAGAGGGAGCCUGAGAGAUGGCUACCACUUCCAAGGAAGGCAGCAGGUGCGCAAAUUGUCCAAUCCCGACACGGGGAGACAGUGACGUGAUAUAACGAUCCCGUGGCGUUCUGCGCCGUGGGAAUCGGAAUGAGCGCAAUUUCAACCUCUCAGCGAGGAUCCACU